rnacentral:piRNA from 1 species
UGGAGUAUGUACCCGGGGAUACCAGGA